rnacentral:rRNA from 1 species
CCUACGGGGCGCAGCAGUCGAGAAUCAUUCACAAUGGGGGAAACCCUGAUGGUGCGACGCCGCGUGGGGGAAUGAAGGUCUUCGGAUUGUAAACCCCUGUCAUGUGGGAGCAAAUUAAAAAGAUAGUACCACAAGAGGAAGAGACCGCUAACUCUGUGCCAGCAGCCGCGGGAAUACAGAGGUCUCAAGCGUUGUUCGGAAUCACUGGGCGUAAAGCGUGCGUAGGCUGUUUCGUAAGUCGUGUGUGAAAGGCGCGGGCUCAACCCGCGGACGGCACAUGAUACUGAGAGACUAGAGUAAUGGAGGGGGAACCGGAAUUCUCGGUGUAGCAGUGAAAUGCGUAGAUAUCGAGAGGAACACUCGUGGCGAAGGCGGGUUCCUGGACAUUAACUGACGCUGAGGCACGAAGGCCAGGGGAGCGAAAGGGAUUAGAUACCCUGGUAGUC